rnacentral:rRNA from 1 species
CGCCUUUUGUAGGAAUAGAAGGUCUAACCUGCCCACUGAGGAAUUAAAGGGCCGCAGUAUAUUGACUGUGCAAAGGUAGCAUAAUCAUUAGUCUUCUAAUUAAAGGCUGGAAUGAAUGGUUGGACGAGGUGCUAGCUGUCUCACUAAGAUAUUUUGAAUUUAGCUUUUUAGUCAAAAGGCUAAAAUAGAGUUGGAGGACGAGAAGACCCUAUAGAGCUUUACAUCCUAUUUAAUUAGUUUGUUUGGGUAGAUUCUAAUUUAUUAGAAAAGGUGUUUCGUUGGGGUGACGGGAAGAUAGGAAGAACUCUUCUUAAAAAGUAACACAGAUGAGUGAAUAUUUGAUCCAUAGGUAUUGAUUAAAAGACUAAGUUACCUUAGGGAUAACAGCGUAAUCUUUUUUGAGAGUUCUAAUCGACAAGAAGGGUUGCGACCUCGAUGUUGGACUAAGGGUGAUUUUUGGGUGUAGCAGCUCGAAGUUUAGGUCUGUUCGACCUUUGAACCCUUACAU